rnacentral:rRNA from 1 species
AGUUCCGAUUAUGGCUCCAGAUUGAACGCUGGCGGGAUGCUUUACAUGCAAGUCAGACAACGGCACGGACUUCGGUCUGGUGGCGAGUGGCCGAACGGGUGAGUAAUGUAUCCGGAACGUGCCUAGUAGCGGGGGGAUAACUACGCGAAAGCGUAGCUAAUGCCGCAUACGCCCUUCGAGGAAAGCAGGGGACCUUCGGGCCUCGCACUAUUAGAGCGGCCGAUAUCGGAUUGGCUAGUUGGUGGGGUAACGGCUCGCAAGGCGACGAUCUGUGUAGCUGGCCGGGGGACGACCAGCCACACCAGGACUGAGACUUUGGCCCAGACUCCUACAGGAAGGCAGCAGUGGGAAUUUUUGAACCCAAUGGGAAACCUGAUCCAGCCAUCCCGCGUGUGCGACGAAGAGGCCUUCGGGUUGUAAAGCACUUUUGGCAGAAGCGGCACGGGAUAAUACCCGUGCAACUGACGGUACCUACAGAAUAAGCACCGGCUAACUACGUGCCAGCAGCCGCGGUAAUACGUAGAGAGAAUUUAACAAGCGUUAAUCGGAAUUACAGGCUAAAGCGUGCGCAGGCGGUUCGGAAGAAAGAUGUGAAAUCCCAGAGCUUAACUUUGGAACUGCAUUUUUAACUACCGAGCUGAGUGUGUCAGAGGAGGUGGAAUUCCGCGUGUAGCAGUGAAAUGCGUAGAUAUGCGGAGGAACACCGAUGGCGAAGGCAACUCCUGGGAUAACACUGACGCUCAUGCACGAAAGCGUGGGGGAACCAAACAGAGUUGAACACCCUGUUGGUCCACGCCUAAACGUGUCAACGCUAGCUGUUGCGGGGCCUUCGGGCCUUGGUAGCGCAGCUAACGCGUGAGAUUGACCGCCUGGGGAGUACGGUCGCAAGAUUAAAACUCCAAGGAAUUGACGGGGACCCGCACAAGCGGUGGAUGAUGUGGAUUAAUUCGAUGCAACGCGAAAAACCUUACCUACCCUUGACAUGGAAUCCCGAAGAGAUUUGGGAGUGCUCGCAAGAGAGCCGGAACACGGGUGCUGUAUUGUCGUCAGCUCGCGUCGUGAGAUGUUGGGUUAAGUCCACAACGAAGCGCAGCCCUUGUCAUUAGUUGCUACGAAGGGCACUCUAAUGAGACUGCCGGUGACAAACCGGAGGAAGGUGAGGAUGACGUCAGGUCCUCAUGGCCCUUAUGGGUAGGGCUUACGUCAUGCAAUGGUCGGGACAGGGUCGCCAACCCGCGAGGAGACCAAUCCCGAAACCCGAUCGUAGUCCGGAUCACAGUCUGCUGGCGCUCGACUGCGUGAAGUCGGAAUCGCUAGUAAUCGCGGAUCAGCAUGUCGCCGGUGAAUACGUUCCCGGGUCUUGUACACCGCCCGUCACACCAUGGGAGUGGGUUUUACAGAAGUAGUUAGCCUAACCGUAAGGAGGGCGAUUACCACGGUAGGAUUCAUGACUGGGGUGAAGUCGUGGCAAGGUAG